AGCUCUCCGGUGGCCUAACUGUUAGAGCGUCCGCCUUAGAUGCGGGAGCUAAUGUGUUCGAUCCACAGCCGAGUCA